rnacentral:ncRNA from 2 species
CUACAUGUAGUUGCUUUCGGUUCAUCGAGUCGGGUGACGGCCCGGCGCGGCGCUAAGAGGGAAACCGGUCUGAUUCCGGUGCUGCCCCCGCAACUGUAAGCGGCGAGUGAAGGCCCUGAGAGCCACUGGGAUAUCCCGGGAAGGCGCGGCCGGAACCACGACCCGCAAAGCCAGGAGACCUGCCGGAAGCCGGAUAGAAUU